GACGUGAUGCACGUGAUGAAGAAUCUUUGCGUGACCCUGCUUGGCUUCUUGGGCGUGUAUGGGAAGACAAAAGAUACACCUAAGGCACGGGAGGACCAGCAACGUAUGCACGGAGAAGACGGCAUACAUCAGGGUCAUGCAAGCUACGCUCUUACCAAAGAAGAGAAGGAAAUCUUCUUUGAAUGCCUGCUCAGUAUUAAGGUACCGUCUGGCUUCUCGUCGAAUAUAAAGGGAAUAAUAAACAUGGCAGAGAAAAAGUUCCAGAACCUAAAGUCUCAUGACUGCCAUGUGAUUAUGACGCAACUGCUUCCGGUUGCAUUGAGG
rnacentral:rRNA from 1 species